rfam:Lepisosteus oculatus linkage group LG4, whole genome shotgun sequence.
ACCAGCAGCCAUAUCACCCUGCAGCUCACACCUGGCAGCCCACUGGAGCUCAGCAGGUGUGAGCCUGGUCAGUACCUGGAUGGGAGACCUACUGGGAAAAACUAAGGCUGCUGCCGGAA